rnacentral:rRNA from 1 species
CAGCCGCCACGGGAACACGAGGGGAGCUAGCGUUGUUCGGAAUUACUGGGCGUAAAGCGCACGUAGGCGGACUUUUAAGUCAGGGGUGAAAUCCCGGGGCUCAACCCCGGAACUGCCUUUGAUACUGGGGGUCUUGAGUUCGAGAGAGGUGAGUGGAAUUGCGAGUGUAGAGGUGAAAUUCGUAGAUAUUCGCAGGAACACCAGUGGCGAAGGCGGCUCACUGGCUCGAUACUGACGCUGAGGUGCGAAAGCGUGGGAAGCAAACAGGAUUAGAUACCCGUGUAGUCCCUGUCUCUUAUAC